UAAGGAAUAUUGCUCAAUGGGAGAAAUCCUGAAGCAGCAACGCCGCGUGGAGGAUGAAGGGUCUAUGACUUGUAAACUCCUGUAAAGAAGGAAAAAAUUCCCAUUAGAUGGGAGAUGAUGGUACUUCUGGAGUAAGCCCCGGCUAACUACGUGCCAGCAGCCGCGGUAAUACGUAGGGGGCAAGCGUUGUCCGGAUUUACUGGGUGUAAAGGGUGCUCAGGCGGAUUUGUAAGUCAGAGGUGAAAUCUUACAGCUUAACUGUGAAACUGCCUUUGAUACUGCAAGCCUAGGGUAUGGAAGAGAGUGAUGGGAUAUCUGGUGUAGCAGUGAAAUGCGUAGAUAUCAGAUAGAACACCAAUGGCGAAGGCAGUCACUUGGUCCAUUACUGACGCUAAAGCACGAAAGCGUGGGUAGCAAACA
rnacentral:rRNA from 1 species